UGCUAGCGAGGUUAAACACUUCAGGUGUGGAGCCGUAGCGAAAGCGAGUCUGAAUAGGGCGCCCUAGUUCGUUGGAUUAGACCCGAAACCGAGUGAUCUAGCCAUGUGCAGGUUGAAGGUGCGGUAACACGCACUGGAGGACCGAACCCACGUCUGUUGAAAAAGACGGGGAUGACCUGUGGUUAGGGGUGAAAGGCCAAUCAAACUCGGCAAUAGCUGGUUCUCCGCGAAAGCUAUUUAGGUAGCGCGUCUAGUCUCACCUUCGGGGGUAGAGCACUGGAUGGGGAAGGGGGGAGCGAUCCUUACCGACUCUAACCAAACUCCGAAUACCGAAGAGUGCAAUCUAGGCAGACAGACGGCGGGUGCUAAGGUCCGUCGUCAAGAGGGAAACAGCCCUGACCACCAGCUAAGGUCCCUAAGUCACAGUUAAGUGGGAAAGGAUGUGAGGAGGCCAAGACAACCAGGACGUUGGCUUAGAAGCAGCCAUCGUUUAAAGAAAGCGUAAUAGCUCACUGGUCUAAAUAAGCCGCCUUGCGCCGAAGAUGUACCGGGGCUCAAACUGUGCACCGAAGCUGUGGAAACGAUCUUUGAUCGUUUGGUAGCGGAGCGUUCCGUAAGUCUGUGAAGGGUGACCUGUGAGGGCACCUGGAGAUAUCGGAAGUGCGAAUGCUGACAUGAGUAGCGAU
rnacentral:rRNA from 1 species